AGGGGCGGCCGCGUAAAGCAGGCAGACCGGCGGCUUUAGAAGGUAAAGGCCGUACAAACUGCACAGCACUCCAUACAUACCUACACAAGGAAAGGAACAACGCCCACAACACAUCACACAAGAAUGAAGCUGGCUGCCGUCUACACAUCUGUAACAUUAAUGUGCGUUAGGACCGAAAGGGACAGGAAGGACCCAGUCCCAGAGACUCACGGCCUGCGGGCGCCCCCACAAUCAUAGGACUUGUCAUAGGACUGACGCUGGCUGCAACUACCUGUAGCUGUGCAGAAAUGGACGCUCACUCGGACCUAGUUGUCUCUGAGCAGGACCCACCUCCUAGCUGAUGCUGUGCGAGUGUGUGGAACUUUACUGAGGGAGAGAGGGAGAAAGAGAAACAGAGAAACAAAGAGACCUAGCGCGGAGGGAAGAGAACGGAAGGAGAGAGUGCAGAAAAAAGGAGCAUGAAAAUGAUUUUUAAAGUCUAAAUAAACCACAAAACCAGGAAUACUGAAGCAACUUCCAGGAAACUCUCAGUUGGGAUAGUGAUUUCCAAGAAUAAAGGAUGUUAUCUGCUUAUUUAAAUGUGACCCGCUCAAGCUGUCAUGAAUAAAAGAAGCUUUGGUUAUGCCCACCUUGCAA